GACGAACGCUGGCGGCGUGCCUAAUACAUGCAAGUCGAGCGGACGGAUGGGAGCUUGCUCCCAUCCCGUCAGCGGCGGACGGGUGAGUAACACGUGGGCAACCUGCCUGUAAGACUGGGAUAACUCCGGGAAACCGGGGCUAAUACCGGAUAACUCUUUCCCUCACAUGAGGGAAAGCUGAAAGAUGGCAUCUCGCUAUCACUUACAGAUGGGCCCGCGGCGCAUUAGCUAGUUGGUGAGGUAACGGCUCACCAAGGCGACGAUGCGUAGCCGACCUGAGAGGGUGAUCGGCCACACUGGGACUGAGACACGGCCCAGACUCCUACGGGAGGCAGCAGUAGGGAAUCUUCCGCAAUGGACGAAAGUCUGACGGAGCAACGCCGCGUGAGUGAUGAAGGUUUUCGGAUCGUAAAACUCUGUUGUCAGGGAAGAACAAGUGCCGGAGUAACUGCCGGUACCUUGACGGUACCUGACCAGAAAGCCACGGCUAACUACGUG
rnacentral:rRNA from 1 species